UCCCUGGAGGACUAGUGGUUAGGCCACAGCGCUCUCACCACUGAGGCCUGGGUUUGAUUCCCGGCCAGGAAA
rnacentral:tRNA from 1 species